GGGUUGUGAGGUUAAGCGACUAAGCGUACACGGUGGAUGCCCUGGCAGUCAGAGGCGAUGAAGGACGUGCUAAUCUGCGAUAAGCGUCGGUAAGGUGAUAUGAACCGUUAUAACCGGCGAUUUCCGAAUGGGGAAACCCAGUGUGAUUCGUCACACUAUCAUUAACUGAAUCCAUAGGUUAAUGAGGCGAACCGGGGGAACUGAAACAUCUAAGUACCCCGAGGAAAAGAAAUCAACCGAGAUUCCCCCAGUAGCGGCGAGCGAACGGGGAGCAGCCCAGAGCCUGAAUCAGUGUGUGUGUUAGUGGAAGCGUCUGGAAAGGCGCGCGAUACAGGGUGACAGCCCCGUACACAAAAAUGCACAUGCUGUGAGCUCGAUGAGUAGGGCGGGACACGUGGUAUCCUGUCUGAAUAUGGGGGGACCAUCCUCCAAGGCUAAAUACUCCUGACUGACCGAUAGUGAACCAGUACCGUGAGGGAAAGGCGAAAAGAACCCCGGCGAGGGGAGUGAAAAAGAACCUGAAACCGUGUACGUACAAGCAGUGGGAGCCUCUUUUAUGGGGUGACUGCGUACCUUUUGUAUAAUGGGUCAGCGACUUAUAUUCUGUAGCAAGGUUAACCGAAUAGGGGAGCCGAAGGGAAACCGAGUCUUAACUGGGCGUUAAGUUGCAGGGUAUAGACCCGAAACCCGGUGAUCUAGCCAUGGGCAGGUUGAAGGUUGGGUAACACUAACUGGAGGACCGAACCGACUAAUGUUGAAAAAUUAGCGGAUGACUUGUGGCUGGGGGUGAAAGGCCAAUCAAACCGGGAGAUAGCUGGUUCUCCCCGAAAGCUAUUUAGGUAGCGCCUCGUGAACUCAUCUCCGGGGGUAGAGCACUGUUUCGGCAAGGGGGUCAUCCCGACUUACCAACCCGAUGCAAACUGCGAAUACCGGAGAAUGUUAUCACGGGAGACACACGGCGGGUGCUAACGUCCGUCGUGAAGAGGGAAACAACCCAGACCGCCAGCUAAGGUCCCAAAGUCAUGGUUAAGUGGGAAACGAUGUGGGAAGGCCCAGACAGCCAGGAUGUUGGCUUAGAAGCAGCCAUCAUUUAAAGAAAGCGUAAUAGCUCACUGGUCGAGUCGGCCUGCGCGGAAGAUGUAACGGGGCUAAACCAUGCACCGAAGCUGCGGCAGCGACACUAUGUGUUGUUGGGUAGGGGAGCGUUCUGUAAGCCUGUGAAGGUGUGCUGUGAGGUAUGCUGGAGGUAUCAGAAGUGCGAAUGCUGACAUAAGUAACGAUAAAGCGGGUGAAAAGCCCGCUCGCCGGAAGACCAAGGGUUCCUGUCCAACGUUAAUCGGGGCAGGGUGAGUCGACCCCUAAGGCGAGGCCGAAAGGCGUAGUCGAUGGGAAACAGGUUAAUAUUCCUGUACUUGGUGUUACUGCGAAGGGGGGACGGAGAAGGCUAUGUUGGCCGGGCGACGGUUGUCCCGGUUUAAGCGUGUAGGCUGGUU
rnacentral:rRNA from 1 species